GAGAGUUUUAAGAAGAAAGUUCCUACCUCCCCCAUGGUUUGACAGUCUCUGAUAUGGUAUUACAGAGGGAAAGAACUGCCUGUCUGGGGGAAGAGAGAAUAAGGCUUGGAACCACACGUGCUUUCAGCUCUGAUUGCCUAAAUCAUAGUAGCUGAUGAUGUCAUAAUGGGAGCUCAGGAUUUAGUACACGCAUGUCAGUCUCCGCAGGUUGCAAGGGGGCAUGGAACAUGAAAGGAAAAGAUAUAACAGCAAUUGGAUUUCUUGUUGUUAAAAGAUGAUGAAAAAAGUCCUAAAUGCCAACAAAACAUCCAGUCAUGUAAUGAGGGACGAGACACCCGAAUAUGAGCCUUCAGACAUCUCUAACAAAUAUGUUAAGUUUUCACAUUACAGACAAGCUGAGCAAUAUGUUCCAUACACAACAGCAAAUGUUCCAAAAACAGCUGGGAUACAAGGAAUUAACACAAAACUGCCAGGCAGGUGUACUGUGCAAAUGCACAUACACAGCUCAGCUAUCUUUGAGAAAGCGGAUAAAGAUGCUGCAAGGCACAGGCUAUUGACAGUAGGGAGAAGUGAAGAUCAUAAAAGUAGCCAUGCUGCUCAUAAGCAAGAGUUUCUAAGUUAUGCCAAGUUUUUCAGUUCCAAUGCUAUGUGCCAAAGUGAGGCGCCAUCCCAGCAGCGCAGAAUCAGACAAAGAAAAACACAACAGCAACUUCAAAAAGAAAACCAGUCAGCUACAAUCAUUCAGUCCGCCUGGCGAGGUUGUCAGGUCAGAAGGGAGAUCAAUGGGAUGAAUAAAGCUGCUGCCAAAAUUCAGGCAGUUUUUCGAGGCUACAGGACACGACGAGAAUUGCUUCUUGGAUGUAA